rnacentral:lncRNA from 1 species
CAUAAUGCAACACGGUGACAUCGCGCUAUUGCGCCAUUUUGCGACUACUUGGCGGUCUUUUUUGGAUCGGCAGUCAUCAGUUUAUCAGGCGGCCUGCGGUGCACUUACAGCUCAAACUGUGGUGAGUAUAUCUGGAUAUUAGAUCAUGUAUAACGUAAAAGUGUUUAUGCCCCCCUAUAUAAUGAUAUUACUUGUAAUACGUAUCAAAUACAUCGAAGUGUUUUAGCUGCAAGACCGAUGGGUAGAGAUAAUUAAUUAAAAAAUGGUAACGUUAACUGUUAUAUCCCUGAAAUAAAAACGCCUGAGUCAUUAAAGCCACCUAACUGUUAGCGCUGAAAAACAGUUCAAAUAAAGUUUAAACUUGAGACAUAUGUUUUUAAUUAUUAUAUUAUUAUUAUUAUUGUUUCGAAUAAUUUAACGUUAAGCUUUUCAUCAUGAAAUUUGUUCGAUUCAUUGCUUUUUUUCUUCAAUUGUGCCAUGCGAAUUAGUUAUACAGGUGUUUAUAGUAACUUAAUAUUCUGCUGUACAAGUUUAAUUAAUUUUGGAUCUCCUUUAGCUGUCAGAUUUCUACACACGAUGUAAAGAGGCUCCUUUUUUAUUUAUUUUAAGCAAAAACAGCCUUUUCUUCUACAAGCUCUAGUUUUAUAUUUGGGGUUCAAGUUUAUCACUAAGGUAUAGUAUUUAAUAUAGUGUGAAUUUAGGGGCUAUACUAUAUGAGGUUAUAACUUUUGUUUUGUUUUUGCUUUGUUUUGCAUUUAUCUCUUUGCCAUGUUCUGAAGAAGCCAUAUUGUUGUAAGGUUGAUGAAAAAUGAGGUCAUGGCCUGUUUCAGUAUGAAGUGGGGGAAGGGGAAGCUUGCUUUCACCAAGAUCAAUCUGUACACUGUUGUCACAGAGAGUGUCCAGAAAACAUCAAAAGAGACGGGGCAAAUACUGCAGCAGCCACUGCCUUUUGUUUAAAAUAUGCCCCAGCAGAGCCGUCGCAAGGAGGGUGAGAGGCCCUGUGCAAAGUUGAUGUGCGAGGCCCUCUACAAUUUUGUGCGUGUGUGUGUGUGGUGGGGGAGGUUGCUGUAGCAAGGCAAGGCAAGUUUAUUUAUAUAGCAAAUUUCGAACAAAAUGUUAAUUCAAAGUGCUUUACAUAAAAUUAAGUAAAAUAAUCAUGAAGAACAAAACUAAAACAAGCAAUUUUAAAACUUUGGAAAUUAUUUAAAAAUUGACUUGAAUUUAAAACAGUUAGAAAUAGAAAAUGAUCUUACAGUUAAUACAUAAAAUACAGUGCAAUCAGGUCGGACAUCGCACAGUGCUCAUUCAAUAAAUGCACAGCUAAACAGAUGAGUUUUGAGUCUAGAUUUAAAUGUGACUAGUGUUUUAGCACAUCUAAUCUCUUCUGGAGGCUGAUUCUGGAAGCAAUGUAUUUUGGUCCUAGGUCUUUGAGUGACUUCUAGACAAGUAGAAGUACUUUAAUUAAAAUCAAUCUUAAAUGUAACUGGAAG